rnacentral:rRNA from 1 species
UGGGGAAUUUUGGACAAUGGGCGCAAGCCUGAUCCAGCCAUGCCGCGUGCGGGAAGAAGGCCUUCGGGUUGUAAACCGCUUUUGUCAGGGAAGAAAUCUUCUGAGUUAAUACCUCGGGAGGAUGACGGUACCUGAAGAAUAAGCACCGGCUAACUACGUGCCAGCAGCCGCGGUAAUACGUAGGGUGCAAGCGUUAAUCGGAAUUACUGGGCGUAAAGCGUGCGCAGGCGGUUUUGUAAGACAGAGGUGAAAUCCCCGGGCUCAACCUGGGAACUGCCUUUGUGACUGCAAGGCUUGAGUGCGGCAGAGGGGGAUGGAAUUCCGCGUGUAGCAGUGAAAUGCGUAGAUAUGCGGAGGAACACCGAUGGCGAAGGCAAUCCCCUGGGCCUGCACUGACGCUCAUGCACGAAAAGCGUGGGGAGCAAAACAGGAUUAGAUACCCUGGUAGUCCACGCCCUAAACGAUGUCAACUGGUUGUUGGGAAGGUUCCUUCUCAGUAACGUAGCUAACGCGUGAAGUUGACCGCCUGGGGAGUACGGCC